CUUGGCGACCAUAGCGUUUUGGACCCACCUGAUUCCAUCCCGAACUCAGAAGUGAAACGAAAC
rnacentral:rRNA from 1 species